AGAGUUUGAUCAUGGCUCAGAUUGAACGCUGGCGGCAUGCUUUACACAUGCAAGUCGAGCGGCAGCGCGGGGGCAACCCUGGCGGCGAGCGGCGAACGGGUGAGUAAUAGAUAGGAACGUGUCCGGGAGUGGGGGAUAACUAGCCGAAAGGUUAGCUAAUACCGCAUAUUCUCUACGGAGGAAAGCGGGGGGAUUCGCAAGAACCUCGCGCUCGCGGAGUGGCCUAUCUCCGAUUAGCUAGUUGGUGAGGUAAAGGCUUACCAAGGCGACGAUCGGUAGCUGGUCUGAGAGGAUGAUCAGCCACACUGGGACUGAGACACGGCCCAGACUCCUACGGGAGGCAGCAGUGGGGAAUUUUGGACAAUGGGGGCAACCCUGAUCCAGCCAUGCCGCGUGCGGGAAGAAGGCCUUCGGGUUGUAAACCGCUUUUAUUCGGAAAGAAGGAGUGGGGGUUAAUACCUCUCAUGACAGACGGUACCGGAUGAAUAAGGACCGGCUAACUACGUGCCAGCAGCCGCGGUAAUACGUAGGGUCCAAGCGUUAAUCGGAAUUACUGGGCGUAAAGCGUGCGCAGGCGGUUCGUUAAGUCAGCUGUGAAAGCCCCGGGCUCAACCUGGGAAUUGCGGUUGAAACUGGCGAACUAGAAUCUGGCAGAGGGGGGUGGAAUUCCCGUGUAGCAGUGAAAUGCGUAGAGAUGUGGAGGAACACCGAUGGCGAAGGCAGCCCCCUGGGCUGAGAUUGACGCUCAGGCACGAAAGCGUGGGGAGCAAACAGGAUUAGAUACCCUAGUAGUCC
rnacentral:rRNA from 1 species